rnacentral:rRNA from 1 species
CCUACGGGUGGCAGCAGUGAGGAAUAUUGGUCAAUGGGCGUGAGCCUGAACCAGCCAAGUCGCGUGAAGGACGACGGCCCUACGGGUUGUAAACCUCUUUUGCAGAGGGGCAAAGUGCGGCACGCGUGCCGUCCUGUAUGUACCCUGUGAAAAAGCAUCGGCUAACUCCGUGCCAGCAGCCGCGGUAAUCCGGAGGAUCCGAGCGUUAUCCGGAUUUAUUGGGUUUAAAGGGUGCGUAGACGGGAUGCCAAGUCAGCGGUCAAAUACGGGGGCUCAACCUGAGUCCGCCGUUGAAACUGGCGGCCUUGAGUGCGCGUGAAGUACGCGGAAUGCGUGGUGUAGCGGUGAAAUGCAUAGAUAUCACGAAGAACUCCGAUUGCGAAGGCAGCGUACCGGAGUGCGACUGACGCUGAUGCACGAAAGCGUGGGUAUCGAACAGGAUUAGAUACCCCUGUAGUC